rnacentral:tRNA from 1 species
GGUGAUAGCUCAGUGGUAGAGAACCUGCUUAGCAUGCAUGAGGUCCUGGGUUCAAUCCCCAGUAUCUCCA